rnacentral:rRNA from 1 species
UAGGGAAUUUUCGUCAAUGGGCGCAAGCCUGAACGAGCGAUGCCGCGUGAGUGAAGAAGGCCUUCGGUCGUAAAGCGUCUGUUGCGGGGGAAAAAAGGCAGCAUCAGGAAAUGGGUGCUGACUGAUGGUGCCCCGCCAGAAAGUCACGGCUAACUACGUGCC